AGGGCUGAUAUAGAAUGCACAGAGGAGGUUACUAAUAUGACAGAUUAAGGGGAAAAAAGAAGGGUUACUAAUCUGAAGUUCCCUUUUACGCAUACUAAGUUGGUAAUCAGACUGGACACAGCAGGCUUAGCAGCAAAUCAAGGUAAUAGCAAUGAUAGGAAAUGAUACCUGGUCAGGCACCCAUAGAACUCUUUUUUCUAAAAUCUCGAUCAUAUAACGGCACACAUAGUAUCCGGAGUCAUUGCUGUUUUGAGGUUGACGAGGACACUACAAUAUAAGGAAUAAAAGAAAUACAGUAAUACAUCAGGGAUCUCCUUUCCUGCUCCAGCCGGAUCCAACCAAUACACUACAGCAUUCCAAGGGCUAAUGGCUGCUAACAUCCAGUUCUGACUAUAUACACAAAUUAUAAGAGAAAAUAAUAGCAUAUUAAUAGAAUAAAG